rnacentral:tRNA from 1 species
UGAUAUAGCUCAGUCGGUAGAGCGCCACCUUGGUAAGGUGGAGGUCACCAGUUCAAAUCUGGUUAUCA